rnacentral:lncRNA from 1 species
GCUCAAUUUGUAGCAAAUAAUUCUUCAGAUAAGCAAAAAAUAAUCCUGAGGACAAACACACUGUGUAUUUCAUACACUGAAAUCUCUUGAUUUGGAGCAUGCAAUUUCUGCCCUCCCUCUCCCCAACGGAACAAUUUGAUAUUUCAGUCCUAAAGUAAUAAUACAUACAAACAGCUUCAUUUACUUGGAGAAAACUGAUGAGCCUUCAUCUAUAGUCAAGCUCUUUAGUGCUCAGAUCUGACACAGGAGUCUACUUAAAGCUCAACAGGAGUUUGUGAAUAGCUCUUCGUGUGACAUUCUAGCUCUAAAAAAAUAAUUUGCUUUUGGUUUUAUACUGUUUCCACCUCACAGAUGAAGUUAGCAAGAAUCUAAGCAGCCAUCCUGUUCCAGAACAAACAUGUUUAAAGGUAUACUAUCCUAUUGUGACAGUUAAGCAGUCAGGAAACUCAAAACAA